rnacentral:lncRNA from 1 species
UCUCCUCCCCUCUCCUUUGUCUCCAGGCCCCAGGGGAAGGCUAGAGAAUGAUCACGUGGCCGGGAUGGGGCUGUGUUCCUGGCAGUCCCCUGGGCUUCCUGCAGGGACCUGGAUUCUUAGUAUUUCAGGCUGCUGUCCCUUUUUUUUUUUCAUUUCCUUUUUGUUUUUGUUGUUGAUGUGACCGCGUGUCCACAACCCUGGGAUUCCCUCGCCCUCAGAUUCCAGAAUCCAAUUUCUUGGAUUUCAGUGUUUUUAAGGUGGGAGGUCUCGCUAUGCUUCCCAGGCUGGACUCAAAUUCCUGGGCUCAAGUGAUUCCCCCGCCUCAGCCUCCUGAGUAGCUGGGACUACAGGUAAGUGCCACUGCACCCACCUUGUCUUGAAAUUCUUAAUAAUUUUUUCGUUGCAUUUACACUUUGCAAGUGAAGUCCAAUGGGACAAUGCAGCAUGCACUGAGGGCUUGGAGUCUUGGCCCAUGCGUGGUCUGCCUCUCCCUGCUUCCCUGGAACAAUUCUCAGCUGCCUGUUCCCCGCUUCCUGGUUCCCCAGGCCCCACCUGACUUCCCCUUCCUUGCUGACCUCUGCCUGCUGUAAGGGCCUAGCUGUGGGCACAGGGAGAAUUGGGGUUGAGCUGGUGUGCCCUAUGGCAUUUUGGGGAGAGGCAGGGUGGCAGCCAUCCUUGCCCUGGGCUGGCAGCGCCAUGGUGCCUUUGAUGAGCAGCAGCAGGACUGGCCUCUCAGCCAUCCCCUAGCCAGGUGCUGAGACUGCUUUGGAAUGGAGAUUUAAUCCCCUGGAGGUCUCCCAGCAGCCAUGGGUUGGGGCAGCAGGCCUGUGGGAAGGGAAGAUUGACGGCCUCACCUCAUCCUUGCCCCUGGGCAGAUAUGGCAUGUCAGUCUGGUGGUCUAGCCAGAGGAAGACUCCUGGAGCUGGUGAACUGUGCAUGGAUAUGCAGUCACGGGCAGCCCACCUCCUACUCCUCACCCUCCCUGUGCCUGUGAGGGUCUGCACUCACCCUGUAAGUAUCCCUGUGCCCAAGGAAGCAUAGCAUCAAACAGUAAAUAAGAAACACCAAGAGAGGGCAAGACAGAGACCACAGAAGAAAGGAAAAGUUUGUAGUUUAGUGCCUCUAAUGGCACUUUUUUCCCUACCCAUCUUUUCUUUUCUUCUUUUUUUUUUUCAGGGUCUUGCUUUAUUGCCCAGGCUGGAGUACAGUGGCGCAAUCACGGCUCACUGCAGCCUCAACCUCUUGGGCCCGAGCAAUCUUCCCACCUUGGUCUCCUAAAGUGCUGGGAUAACAGGCAUGAGCCACCACAUCUGGCUGAGGCCCCACAUUUUCAUUUUGUGCUGAGACUUGUAAAUUAGGUAGCUGGUCCUGGCUGUAGCAGAUGGUAUAGAUUCUUUUUCUGGCUCUGUUUUUGUGACAUCUCAACUUACUGGGCUCUUAUUAAAGGUGAUUUAGGUGACUUAUCAACUUUUCAUGAGUACAGAUGAAGAACUCUUCUAGGGCAGGGGUCCCCAACCCUUGGGCCACAGACCAGUACUGGCCUAUUAGGAGCCAGGCCGCACAGCAGGAGGUGAGUGGCAGGCAAGCAAAUCAAGCUUCAUCUGUAUUUACAGCCACUCCCCAUCACUAGCAUUAUUGCCUGAGCUUGGCCUCCUGUCAGAUCAGUGGCGACCUUGAUUGUCAUAGGAGCGUGAACCCUCUAGUGAACUGCGCAUGGCAGAGAUCUAGGUUGCACUCUCCUUGUGAGAAUCUAAUGCUUGAUGAUCUGUCACUGUCUCCCAUCACUCCGAGAUGGGAUCGCCUAGUUGCAAGAAAACAAGUUCAAGGCUCUCACUGAUUUUGCCUUAUGGUGAGUUGUAUAAUUAUUUCAUUAUAUAUUACAAAGUAAUAAUAAUAGAAAUAAAGUGCACAAUAAAUGUAAUGUACUUGAAUCAUCCCUAAACUAUCCCCUGCCGCCCUAGUCUGUGGAAAAAUGGUCUUUCAUGAAACUGGUCCCUGUUGCCUAAAAGGUUGGGACUGCUGCUCUAGAAGGUAUGGGAUUGGGAGGUGGGGGUCACACAGAUAGCCACUGACAACCUGAGAAUAGUGACAUGGGCCUGUAAAAACAGAUCAAUAGGUAUCUGUGGAAGGUAUUGAUGAAUACAUGAAUGAAUGAAUGAAACAACAAACUAAGAAAAAUGGCAUGGCAUGCAUGAAUGUGUGAUGGGCUCAAAAUAUGAUCCUCAUAGGGAUAUUUGCCUUAGAAAAAGGAGGCAAAGGCUAAGCUGGAAAAAUCUGUGGCAAUUGAGAGCCCUUGGGGGCUCUGGGUAUGGGUGGGAGGAAUCUAAAGUCUCUCUGUAGAGACUGGUCUUGGGCCAUCCAAUCUUCUCUGCCCGCUACAGCUAAGCCUUUUUCUGCCCACUACAGCUUCCCACAUGCUGCUUCAAUGUUGAUAUCUUGAAGAGGUUCCAGCCUGGCAUGGUGGCUCACACCUGUAAUCCCAGCACUCUGGGAGUUCAAGGUGGGAGGAUUGCUUGAGCCCAGGAGUUCAAGAACAGCCUAGGCAACCUAGUGAGACCACAUCUCUACAAAAAAUUUAAAAAUUAGCUCAACGUGGUGGUGUGUGUCCAUAGUCCCAGCUACUCAGGAGACUGAGAUAGGAGGAUCACUGGAGCCCACAGGCUACAGUGAGCAAUGAUUGUGCCACUGCACUCUAGCCUGGGUGACAGAGCAAGACAUUGUCGCCCAGAAAAAACAAAAAGAGAAAAUAGAAGAGGUUCUUACUGUACAAUAGGACUUUUUUUUUUCUUUUUUGGAGUCAGAGUCUUGCUUUGUCACCCAGGCUGGAGUGCAAUCGCACGAUCUCAGCUCACUGCAGCCUCCGCCUCCUGGGUUCAAGCGAUUCUUCUGCCUCAGCAUCCUGAGUAGUUGGGGUUACAGGCAUGGGCCAGCACGCCCGGCUAAUUUUUAUAUUUUUAGUAGAUGGGGUUUCACCAUAUUGGCCAGGCUGGUCUUGAACUCCUGAUCUCAAGUGAUCUACCUGCCUCGGCCUCCCAAAGUGAUAGGAUCACAGGCGUGAGCCACCUCACCCAGCCACAAUAAGAGCUUUUUAAUGAGAAGAAGACACAAGUCUUGAUUGAGAAUUUCUCUUCCUGAGAGGAAGUACCAGCAUGUUAUGGACCUUAGCUGAUUUGUCUUUAAAAAUCUCAAGCUGUAAUAAUUCCCAGUUGCUCAGUGCACAGUGAAUGAGGCUGAUAUUUAAACAGAACGCCUCAAAGGCACCCGCUGUGUCCACACUUUCUCCCUGCCUGUCCUAUGCCUCUCCAGGUGAUGUCCAUCUUCUCCUUGAAGCCCUCUCUGGCUGCUCCAGUCCCUGAGCUUUCCUUCCUGCACUCAUACAGCAUGAGGAAGGCUCCAUCUUUUUCUAGAUGUGCUAUUUUUUUUAGCAUUUGCUGUGUGCACUUUAGAGGCUCAUUGCCUCUUUGAGACCAAGGAUGGCACUGUCCCUUCUCUCUAGUUGCUCUGAGUGCCAAGCACAGCCCUGAACACCAAAUACUUUGACUCUUCUGUGGCUACUCAACCCUCCUGGCUGUUCCUUCAUCACCCUGGACCGGCCCCCACUCCAGGGUCUUUGCACUUGCUCUCCCUCUGCUUAGAAAGCCCUUCUCCCUGCAAUCUGCAGGGGCUUGAUUACUCUUCUCUUUCAGGCCUUUGCUCAAAUGUCACCUCAUCAAUGCACCCUUCUCUGACCAUCCUAUUGAAUAUUCCAAAUCUUUUUUUUUUUUUUUUUUUUUGAGACAGAGUCUUGCUCUUGUCGCCCAGGCUGGAGUGCAGUGGCACGAUCUUGGCUCACUGCAACCUCUGCCUCCUGGGUUCAAGUGAUUCUCAUACCUCAGCAUCCUCAGGAGCUGGGAUUACAGGCGCCCGCCAUCACACCCGGCUAAUUUUUGUAGUUUUAGUAGAGGCAGGGUUUUGCCAUGUUGGCCAGGCUAGUCUCAAACUCCUAACCUCACGUGAUCCACCCGCCUUGGCCUCCCAAAGUGCUGGGAUUACAGGUGUGAGCAGGCCAGGAACUAUUGUGCCAUGGAUAUUGUUGGUAGCCUAUCCAUCUUCUAUGUCCACAUCUGCAGGGGAAGGGGACCCUACCCUCAGCUCCUGGGGUGGUCCCUGGUUGGCACAGUCCAUUCUCCUGAGCACAGUCACAGUCUUCAGAGGGGCACCUGGUACCUGAGCUGUCCAAUCGGGGAGAUUCUUGGGACUCUCACCAGUAAUGUUGGUGUAGACUUGUUUCCUGUUCUUCCUGGAGACCUUGUUGGCCUGACUGAGCCAUCUGGCCACCAGAGUGAGGAUGUGGACAACAUAAAGCAGAGGGCAGAACCGAGGGAACCCCAGAUAAGGGGAGCCAGACCUGGAUUAAGGCAACUCUGAAAGGCAAGACUCUCUGGAUACUUUUUAAGGCACUUGGGGACUAAAAUAAUAGAGAGUCUAACAAAAAAAAUUUAAGAUGUCCAUUAUAUUGUUCAAAGUAUAAAGAAAUAUGGAAACUCCUUUGCUUACAAACUUCCAGCUUCCAAUUAAGCAGAGACCCCAAAGCUAUAGCCCAAAGCAAAAGUAUGUUGCCUUUAGUAGGGGGCACCUGUCGCCGACUCCCAGGAGUGUGGAGUUGGGAACUAGUUGGCAUUUUCAGUUUGUUCUAGAAGUCCAGGACUAUGUAUCUUGUCUUCUUAACCUGAAUGGGAUUCUCCCCAGUUCAGGGAACCAGCUGUGAGCUUUUUUUUUUUUUUUUUUUUGAGACAGGGUCUCACUCUGUUGCCCACGCUGGAGUGCAGUAGUACAAUCAUGGCUCACUGCAGCCUCGACCUUCUGGGCUCAAGCAAUCCUCCUGCCUCAGCCUCCCAAGUAGCUGGGACUACAGGCAUGUGCCAACACGUCCAGCUAAUUUUUGUGUUUUUUGUAGAGAUGGGGUUUCACCUUGUUGCUCAGUCUGGUCUCAGACUCCUGGACUCAAGUGAUCUGCCUGCCUCAGCCUCCAGAAUUGCAGGGAUUACAAGCGUGAGCCACCACACCUGAGUUCUCUCUUAUUGUAAUGAAAGUUUUCAGGGGAUCCACAUUUCAGCUCCCUGUACCCCUGUAAUCACAAGAGGGACCAAUGCUGUAAUGUCCUCUUAGCAAAUAGCCAAGAGCACACAGAUCUGACACACGUGGAAGGUAUUGUGAGGCUGUGUUCUGAAAAGGAAUAGUAAACUAGGAAAAGUUUCUCUUCAAACAAACAAACAAAAACCUGCCCUCUGACAAGCAGGUGCUUCUCUCAGGUUCUUGGCUUCCCAGUUUACUACCUGGCAUAUCUGUAGCAAAUGGUCGCUGAGAACCUGGAAGCAAUUCCUCAUUUGCAAGUCAAUGGCAGAUUUUUUUUUUUUCCUUUUUGAGACAGUCUCGCUUUGUUGCCCAGGCUAGAGUGUAUGGUGUGAUCUCAGCUCACUGCAACCUCAGCCUCCUGGGUUCAAGUGAUCCAUUCUCCUGCCUCAGCCUCCCGAGUAGCUGGGACUACAGGCAUGUGCCACCAUGCCCAGCUAAUUUUUGUAUUUUUAGUAGAAACGGGGUUUUGCCAUGUUGGCCAGGCUGCUCUCGAAUUCCUGACCUCAAGUGAUCCCCUCGCCUUGGCCUCCCAAAAUGCUGGGAUUACAGGCAUGAACCACCACACCGGCCAAUUUUUUGUGGUUUUCGUAGAGACAGGAUUUCAUUACGUUGGCCAAAUUGGUCUCAAACUCCUGUCCUCGUGAUCCACCCGCCUCGGCUCUCCAAAGUGCUGGGGGAUUACAGGCGUGAGCCAAUGCGCCAGGCCAAUAAUCACUGCUGGCAUUCUUGAGUGCCCAUAUGUGCCACACACUGUUUUUGCAAAAAUUAUAACUGAAGAAAUUAUGACAGUGAAAGAGAUCAGACCUAACCAACUCCAUCUUGCUUCUAACCUUUAAGCUGUCCUUGUACAUUCCUGGGCAUAGGCCGAACUAACUUUGGGAAGGAAUUCUGUUCAUGGUUUGACUCCGAAACAAAAUUGAUAACAGCCCUUUUCCAAGGCCCCCUUCUUGCCUGGGGACCAGUCUGCCUUUGCAGGGCUAACACAUUAGCUACAAGAUUAGAAAUUACGGGUUAGUGGUAAUGCAGCCUCUGGCUCCAAGAGUCUGAACCUCCUCAAAUUGCUCCUGGGGAUAACAUCACUAUUGUAAAACCUAAGAUCAGUGCUUGAGAUAUUUUGUAGACCCUGCACUUGAUGGAUCAGCUGACAUCACCCGGACUGGUUAUCUGGCUCAACCUGUUCUGCCAUCCCACCCAGGAACAGAAGACAGUAAGAAAAACUCACUUUGACCCCAUAUGAUUCCAUCUCCAACCUGAUCCAUCAGCACUCCCCACUUCCCGAGCCCCUACCCGCCAAAUUAUCUUUAAAAACUCUGCUCUCCGAAUGCUCCGGGAGACUGAUUUGAGUAAUAAUAAAACUCCAGUCUCCCUCUCCCGCACAGCCAGCUGUGUGUGAAUUACUCUUUCUCCACUGCAAUUCCCCUGUCUUGAUAAAUUAGCUCUGUCUAGGCAGCAGGCAAGGUGAACCCACUGGGCAGUUACAUAUUUACAUUUAUUUAUUUGUUUGUUGAGACAAGGUCUGUCACCCAGCCUGGGGUGCAGUGAUGUGAUCUCUGCUCACUGCAGCCUUGACUUCCCGGGCUCAAGCCAUCCUCCCACCUCAGCCUCCCAAGUAGCUGGGACUACAGGUGCACGACACCAUGCCUGGUUAAUUUUCAUAUUUUUUGUAGAGGUGGGGUUUCACCAUAUUGCCCAGGCUGGCCUCAAACUCCUGGACUCAAGAGAUCCCUCUGCCUCAGCCUCCCAAAGUGCUAGGAUUACAGGCAGGAGCCACCGUUCCCAGCCCUUGCCUUACAUUUAAUCUUCACUAUUAAUACACACAUGUUAUAAAUGAGAGCAUCAAAGUAUGGAGAGCAGAAGCAACUUGUCCAAGGUCAUACGCAACUAGAAAGGAGUGUAACUGAUAUUUAAACCCUAACAGUCUGGUUCCAGAAUCUGUGCUUUUAAAGUCAAGAUGAAAAGCAUGUCUGGGCCUUGACCCUUGGAACCCACCCCUACCACACAGGCUUUAGCUAGCAGAGGGGCAGCAAAGGAAGACAGCAAGAGGUGGCCUCUGGUCGUAGCUCUUUGUGGUUUGCCAAGGCUUUCUGGUUCACUGACUCAAAAGGGUUUGGGGCUUUACAGACUGGUAAGAUCUCCCAAACUGGGUAGUUGUACUUUAAUUUUGUUAAGUAAAAACAUUUUUAAAAAUCUGCUAACAUCACUAUCAUUUCAUAAAGUAAAUGUAAUUUCAAUGCAAAUAAACCCCAAGAAAGACACAAUCUCAGAGUACAGUCCAGGCCUUUAGGUUGAAUAAAUCUACCUUUGUAAACACCUCCUUUCGUUGUCCUGAUUUUCCUCAUCUCACCGUGGGCUGGUGAAAACGUCCUCAUGUGUAGCACCUGUUUAAGGACUGCCAUCCAGGAACCACUGUGGUACUUCAUACGAUCCCCAUAAACCCUCUGCAAGGUAGACAGGGAAAGUCUUGUUUACCCCACUCUACUAACGAAGAAAUCGAGGCUCAGAGAAGUCUUGUUUAAGGACACACAGCCUGAAAAAUGGCAGGGCCAGGUUACAAACCCAUGUUUUCAGACUGCAGGGGUCCAGUGCUCUUUCCUUCUAUACCUCAAAGCGUUCACAAAAUGCACUCACUGACCACUGGCUUGGUUGCUGUGUGAGGACCUAAAUGUUCAGAAAGAGAAGAAGCAUUUCCAAGUGCCAUUUCCAUUGAAUGGAGUAGUGCAGCUGGCUGAAAGGUAGCCCCUGGAUUCAGGGCGAGAUGGGAAGCCCCUCAGGGGCAAGGUCGGAGUACAUUUCCUCUUUCAUUCCCGGGCUCAGCCCACACAGGGAUGAGCAUACGGGGCUGGCAACAAGUCCUUGCAGCUUAGAAGUGUGAGUGUGGUUUCUAUUUAUUUAUUUUUAAUUAAGAAAUUUUUUUUUAGAGACAGGGUCUUGCCAUGUAGUCCAGGCUGGUCUCAAACUCCUGGGCUCAAGCUCUCCUCUCACUUCGUCCUCCCAAAGUGCUGGGAUUACAGGCGAGAGCCACUGGGCCUGACUGGAGUAUGCUUUUUUUGGUUUGUUUUUGAGACGAAGUCUUGCGCUGUCCCCCAGGCUGAAGUUCAGUGGUGUGAUCUCAGCUCACUGCAACCUCCACCUCCCGGAUUCAAGCGAUUCUCCUGCCUCAGCCUCCUGAGCAGCUGGGAUUACAGGCAUGUGCCACCAUGCUCAGCUAUUUUUCAUUAUUUUUAGUAGAGACGAGGUUUCACCAUACUGGCCAGGCUGGUCUCGAACUCCUGACCUCAGGUGAUCCGCCCACCUCAGCCUCCCAAAAUGCUGGGAUUACAGGUGUGAGCCACUGAACCUGCCCUGGAGUAUGGUUUUAAAUGCUAGUUUUUAUCUAACAGAAUUUUACUGUGGUAAGAAGGGAGGAAGAAAAAAAAUCCCAGACUUAAUUUGAGAGGAUGUUACUGGGAGUUGGGAGAAAAGGAUGAAAUCCAGAGAAGACUUGAUGGAGGCACCCUGGGCAGUGAGGGGAGGAGGGAGGCAGCAAAAGGGGCCUUAUCCCUGAAGGAGGACAGCUGGCAGGGAGGCAGGAGCAUUGUCUGUGGUGUCCCACUGUCUUAGGAUCAAGACCACACCCCUGAUAUUGCCCCCCAGUGCCUAAGGCCUUGCCCUGCCUACUGCCCUAGUGUCACCUGCACUACUCUUGUUCUGGGUUUCUGAGCUCCAGACACAUUUCCUUAAAGAUAUCCCCAUGGGACCCCACCUCGGGGCCUUUUUGUUUUUUUGUUUGUUUGUUGUUUUUUUUUUUUGGCAGGGUCUUGCUCUGUUGUCUAGGCUGGAGUGUAGUGGCACAAUCACAGUUCACUGCAGCCUCUACGUCCUGGGCUCAGGCAAUCCUCCAUCUCAGCCUCCUGAGUGGCUGAGACUACAGGUGCACACUGCUAUACCCAGCUAUUUUUUUUUUUUUUUUGUAGAGACAGGGUUUUGCCAUGUUGCCCAGGCUGGUCUCGAACUCCUGGGCUCAAGCCAUCCUCCUGCCUCGGCUUCCCAAAGUGCUGGGAUUACAGGUGUGAGCCACUGUGCCGGGCCCACCUCAGAGCCUUUGAGCAUGGCAUUCCCGCUCCUGGGUUUCCACCAGUACUUACUAAUGCCUAUUCAUCUUUUGGUGACUUCCCUGACUCCUAUCUACCAGCUGGAGGCGUAGACAGCCCAGAGCCACAUCAGCCCACUUCCAGAAGCAGUGAGCAUUUCAAUGUCCACAGUGUGCACAGGCCCCAGGGGCAGUGGCUUCACCAGGAGGUGCUCAUGAAGCCCACAGUAGCACCAAGGAGCACUCCUUAUCUUGUCCUGGAUGGAGUCAGCACCCUGAGCCUUCCCUUCAGAUCCUUGUUAUAGUCUGCAAUUACGUAUCUGGGUGAUUGUUUCAUUAAUGUCCUUCUCCCAACUAAAUAGUCAGCUUCCUUUUUGUUGGCCAUGGUAUCUGCAGCCUAGCACGGACCCAGAGGCCUGGACGGUGCCCGCUAAGUGUUUGUGGAAUGGCUUCCUUCCUUGUUUUGCCAAGGGGUGCCAGAAUGUGCCACUGGCAUUUGCUUUUCAUUUACACUAUUCUUGUGGCUAGGGUGGAGUGGGUUGGAGGUCAUGGCCAUCUCUAGAGAGCUGUUCCAAGACUACUUGAGCUUGUGUUUUCUUCCCAGCCCAAGAUUCAGAAUCCACUGGCCUUGAGUUCGCCCUGUCCUGGGGACAGUGGGACCUGUCACCUGCUGGCCAAGGUAGGGCUCCAACUUUGUGAAAAGUACAUGCGGCAGGUCUGACCCUUAAACAACUCUUCUGACGUGUGGAAUGCAGGGCUGGGUGGGAGCAGCCGGCACACCUGUCAUUCACUGUUUAGCCACUGAAGGGCAGUGUUGCUCCACAGGAAGGGGCCAGGCAGAUGUGCGCCAUCACUGUGGCUCCCAGGUCGGAAUGAGGAUAUUUUAGCUAGUCCCUACCAAGCACCACUGGUGUGCUAGUCACUUUGAAUAUAGUACUCGUGCAAUCAUGCAAGAGAAAGUUGAUGACCCGUAGUGUAGUGUGGUGUAGUGUGGUGUAGUGUAGUGUAGUGUAGUGUAGUGUAGUGUAGUGUAGUGUGUAGUGUAGUGUAGUGUAGUGUGUAGUGUAGUGUAGUGUAGUUUUUGAGACAGGGUCUCACUGUUGUCCAGGCUGGAAUAUAGUGAUCAGGGCUCACUGCAGCCUUGACCUCCGGGGCUCAAGUAAUCCUCCCGCCUUAGCCUCCCAAAUAACUGGGACUACAGGUGCACACCACUACACUUGGCUAAUUUUUGUAUUUUUUUUGUAAAGAUUGGCGGG